rnacentral:rRNA from 1 species
GACGAACGCUGGCGGCGUGCCUAAUACAUGCAAGUCGAACGCACAGUUUAUACCGUAGCUUGCUACACCAUAGACUGUGAGUUGCGAACGGGUGAGUAACGCGUAGGUAACCUGCCUGGUAGCGGGGGAUAACUAUUGGAAACGAUAGCUAAUACCGCAUAAUAUUGAUUAUUGCAUGAUAAUUGAUUGAAAGAUGCUAUUGCAUCACUACCAGAUGGACCUGCGUUGUAUUAGCUAGUAGGUGAGGUAACGGCUCACCUAGGCGACGAUACAUAGCCGACCUGAGAGGGUGAUCGGCCACACUGGGACUGAGACACGGCCCAGACUCCUACGGGAGGCAGCAGUAGGGAAUCUUCGGCAAUGGACGAAAGUCUGACCGAGCAACGCCGCGUGAGUGAAGAAGGGUGUCGGAUCGUAAAGCUCUGUUGUAAGAGAAGAACGGGUGUGAGAGUGGAAAGUUCACACUGUGACGGUAUCUUACCAGAAAGGGACGGCUAACUACGUG